rnacentral:rRNA from 1 species
UAGGGAAUCUUCCACAAUGGACGAAAGUCUGAUGGAGCAAUGCCGCGUGAGUGAAGAAGGUUUUCGGAUCGUAAAGCUCUGUUGCGAGGGAAGAACACGUACGGGAGUAACUGCCCGUACCUUGACGGUACCUCGUCAGAAAGCCACGGCUAACUACGUGCCAGCAGCCGCGGUAAUACGUAGGUGGCAAGCGUUGUCCGGAAUUAUUGGGCGUAAAGCGCGCGCAGGCGGUCCUUUAAGUCUGAUGUGAAAGCCCACGGCUCAACCGUGGAGGGUCAUUGGAAACUGGGGGACUUGAGUACAGAAGAGGAAAGCGGAAUUCCACGUGUAGCGGUGAAAUGCGUAGAGAUGUGGAGGAACACCAGUGGCGAAGGCGGCUUUCUGGUCUGUAACUGACGCUGAGGCGCGAAAGCGUGGGGAGCAAACAGG